GGAAUAUUGCACAAUGGGGGAAACCCUGAUGCAGCGACGCCGCGUGAGUGAAGAAGUAUUUCGGUACGUAAAGCUCUAUCAGCAGGGAAGAAGAAAAGUCCUUUGGACUUUAGACGGUACCUGACCAAGAAGCCCCGGCUAACUACGUGCCAGCAGCCGCGGUAAUACGUAGGGGGCAAGCGUUAUCCGGAUUUACUGGGUGUAAAGGGAGCGUAGACGGCGAUGCAAGUCUGAAGUGAAAGGCGGGGGCCCAACCCCCGGACUGCUUUGGAAACUGUAUGGCUGGAGUGCAGGAGAGGUAAGUGGAAUUCCUAGUGUAGCGGUGAAAUGCGUAGAUAUUAGGAGGAACACCAGUGGCGAAGGCGGCUUACUGGACUGUAACUGACGUUGAGGCUCGAAAGCGUGGAGAGCAAAC
rnacentral:rRNA from 1 species